CAGCCGCCACGGUAAUACGAAGGGUGCAAGCGUUACUCGGAAUUACUGGGCGUAAAGGGAGCGUAGGCGGACAUUUAAGUCAGGGGUGAAAUCCCAGAGCUCAACUCUGGAACUGCCUUUGAUACUGGGUGUCUUGAGUGUGAUAGAGGUAUGUGGAACUCCGAGUGUAGAGGUGAAAUUCGUAGAUAUUCGGAAGAACACCAGUGGCGAAGGCGACAUACUGGAUCAUUACUGACGCUGAGGCUCGAAAGCGUGGGGAGCAAACAGGAUUAGAUACCCGUGUAGUCCCUGUCUCUUAUAC
rnacentral:rRNA from 1 species